GGAGGGAUGCCGGAGUGGUCGAUCGGGGCGGUCUCGAAAACCGUUGUGCCUUCGGGCACCCAGGGUUCGAAUCCCUGUCCCUCCGCAA
rnacentral:tRNA from 2 species